AGAAUCAACGCUGGCGGCGUGCCUAACACAUGCAAGUCGAACGAGAAAGUGGAGCAAUCCAUGAGUACAGUGGCGCACGGGUGAGUAACACGUGACUAACCUACCCUUGAGUUCGGAAUAACUUCGGGAAACCGAGGCUAAUACCGGAUAAUAUCUACGGAUCAAAGGAGCAGUUCGCUUAAGGAGGGGGUCGCGGCAGAUUAGUUAGUUGGCGGGGUAAUGGCCCACCAAGACGAUGAUCUGUAUCCGGCCUGAGAGGGCGCACGGACACACUGGAACUGAAACACGGUCCAGACUCCUACGGGAGGCAGCAGUGGGGAAUUUUGCGCAAUGGGGGAAACCCUGACGCAGCAACGCCGCGUGGAGGAUGAAAUCCCUUGGGAUGUAAACUCCUUUCGAUCGGGACGAUUAUGACGGUACCGGAAGAAGAGCCCGGCUAACUUCGCGCCAGCAGCCGC
rnacentral:rRNA from 1 species